UACGGGGGGGGGCAAGCGUUGUUCGGAAUUACUGGGCGUAAAGGUCUCGUAGGCGGCCAACUAAGUCGGAUGUGAAAUCCCCAAGCUUAACUUGGGAACUGCAUCCGAUACUGGAUGGCUUGAAUCCGGGAGAGGGAUGCAGAAUUCCAGGUGUAGCGGUGAAAUGCGUAGAUAUCUGGAGGAAUACCGGUGGCGAAGGCGGCAUCCUGGACCGGCAUUGACGCUGAGGAGCGAAAGCUAGGGGAGCAAACGGG
rnacentral:rRNA from 1 species